UACAGAGGGGGCAAGCGUUGUUCGGAAUUACUGGGCGUAAAGGGCGCGUAGGCGGCCAACUAAGUCGGAUGUGAAAUCCCCAGGCUUAACCUGGGAACUGCAUCCGAUACUGGAUGGCUUGAAUCCGGGAGAGGGAUGCAGAAUUCCAGGUGUAGCGGUGAAAUGCGUAGAUAUCUGGAGGAAUACCGGUGGCGAAGGCGGCAUCCUGGACCAACAUUGACGCUGAGGAGCGAAAGCCAGGGGAGCAAACGGG
rnacentral:rRNA from 1 species